CGGCGGACGGGUGAGUAAUGUAUAGGGAUCUGCCUGAUGGCGGGGGAUAACUACUGGAAACGGUAGCUAAUACCGCAUAAUGUCUACGGACCAAAGCGGGGGACCUCCGGGCCUCGCGCCAUCAGAUGAACCCAUAUGGGAUUAGCUAGUAGGUAAGGUAACGGCUUACCUAGGCGACGAUCCCUAGCUGGUCUGAGAGGAUGACCAGCCACACUGGGACUGAGACACGGCCCAG
rnacentral:rRNA from 1 species